rnacentral:rRNA from 1 species
AACGAACGCUGGCGGCAUGCCUAACACAUGCAAGUCGAACGAGACCUUCGGGUCUAGUGGCGCACGGGUGCGUAACGCGUGGGAACCUGCCUUUAGGUUCGGAAUAACUCAGAGAAAUUUGAGCUAAUACCGGAUGAUGUCUUCGGACCAAAGAUUUAUCGCCUUUAGAUGUGCCCGCGUUGGAUUAGCUAGUUGGUGGGGUAAAGGCCUACCAAGGCGACGAUCCAUAGCUGGUCUGAGAGGAUGAUAAGCCACACUGGGACUGAGACACGGCCCAGACUCCUACGGGAGGCAGCAGUGGGGAAUAUUGGACAAUGGGCGAAAGCCUGAUCCAGCAAUGCCGCGUGAGUGAUGAAGGCCUUAGGGUUGUAAAGCUCUUUUACCCGAGAUGAUAAUGACAGUAUCGGGAGAAUAAGCUCCGGCUAACUCCGUG